GUAGGUAUAGCUCAGUGGCAGAGCACAUGCUUAGCGUGCCUGAGGUCCUGGGUUCAAUCCCCAGUACCUCCA
rnacentral:tRNA from 1 species